AAUUAAUUAAUUAAAUAAAUUUUAUAACGUGGGUGAUUGGUUGGACUGUAACUGUAGAAAAUUUACUUUAGAAUUUAGUCUGUAGAAAUUUUUUAUUUAGCUUUAAGAGAUGUAGCUUUAAAAUUUCUUACAGCUAGAAAGAUGAGGCUUUAGAAAAUAAGAUUUUUACAAUCAUUAUUUUUAUGUUUUUGCUGUAACUUUAGUUUUUUGGUUGUAACUUUAAAAACUAAGAUAAAGCAUGAUUGAUAGUAUUUAAGGUUGUAGAUUAAAAUUAAAGCUAAAGUCACUUUCUACAGCUCAACCAAUCACGUCCAAUAUAUUCACUAAAUCUAUUUUUUUUAAAUCACACAUGAAUCAAUGUUGUGACUUCUGUUUUAAUAUACUAGAUUAAAGCUUCUACAAUAAUAUACAUUCAAAAGGGCUUUCUUUGCAGUGAAAAUUGACCAUUUAGUUUUACGAAUACAGUAUAUAUAUUGUAGGAAAAAUGUUGUAAGUCAGAGUCGCUUCUAUUUGUUUAAAUUAUAGUAUCUACAAUAUUUUUAAAAUAACUUGAUAAGCUGAUGUAUUUGUGUCCACUAUAAUUAAAAAGCAAAAUCCAUUGGUAAUCAGGACUUUUGUAACGAACGUAGUGGUAUCUGACAAAGCCAUAUAAACAUUGUUCAUCCAUUUAUUUUAUGUUUUAUCUUUAUUUAUUGUUUUACAUAUAAUAUUUUAAGGUUGUAUGUGGCUUAUGGUUCCUUAUCCAAUAGCAUUUGUGAAGGCAUAUAUAUAUAUAUAUAUAUAUAUAUAUAUAUAUAUAUAUAUAUAUAUAUAUAUAUAUUUUUAAAUAUUGAAGUAAGUGGGUCUUUAAGUUAUUAAUUUUAAAUUGCCCAAUGCCGUCCUUAAAAUAUGUUUAAUUAACAAGGUAGGUAACCAUAUUUUACACACGUAUAAUAUAUGAAACAUAAUACAGUUUUUGUUUAGUCGGUAGAUAGAUUAUUACGUAAGUUAUAUACUCCAUUAUUUAUUGACCAUGUAAUAUUGAAGUUGUUAAAUACUAACUGAAUCAACAGCGAUCGAUUCAUUUUAUAUUUAAGAUUUAAGAUUCAUCAUGAAGAAGUAAAUAUAAUACAAUACAAAGAUAUUUAAUUUUCCUUUAGUUUCAUAAAAUCUCAAGGGGUCCUUAAAGGGAACCAAAAUUCAAUGACGGACAAUCGUCCGGAAUUUAUACCCUAACUAAAGUAAAAUAUACUAGUGCACAUAUUCUAAUGCAUACAAAUAGGAGCAUAUAGUAACAAAUGCAAUUAUUAAUUGGUUUAAUAUAUUUAAAAGAUUAAGAAUUUGAAUGUGGUAUUCGCAAGAUCUUCGUUAUGGAUUUUCAUAUAUAUAUUUGGAAAACUAAGUUGCAAGUCUACUAUCAGUCCAUUUUAUAAAUGAUUACUAAUUUAACAUAAUAACUCGUAAUUAACAUUUAUAAAAAAUAUACUUACAAGGUAUAAAUAUAUUAAUGCCUGAGUUGUAGUUAUACCGAUUACAAAAGAGUACAAAUUUACUUGAUUUAAACUCGUUUCAAGUUUAAAAUGUAAAAGUUAACCUUGGAGACUCUUGAAUAAAAAAAGUUGAACAUUCCGUAUUCCGUAAUGACCUUUUAAUUACAGGGCUAAAACGUGAUUUCAUAGCUAAAGAUUGGCGUUAAGUAAACGCGCCGAAGGUGCGAACUUUCUCGUUUAAUUACUUUUGUAGGUUAGUUUAAUAAAAACACGAAUCAGAAAUGUCAAAUCCAAUUUCUUGGAUCAGAGCACGUAACCUCUAGGGUUUCUAAUCAAAGGGAAAACAAACAAACUUAGUUGAGUGUUCAAAAAAAAAAAUUAGUCGAAUAUAUGUAUAUAUAUAAGUUUGCGCGUAGGUUUCUACAAAAGUACAUGAUGAAUAUUGAAAUACCUAUUUGUUUACGCAAACACAGACAUUGAACAGUGUUGGUACGAGGUUGAAAAUUACUGCUCGUAAACUGGUUUUAUUUCCCAAACCAAUAAAAUGCCUGCAGACCACUUGAAAAAUAAACAAAUAUGUAUGUCUUAAAAUAUUUACAAAAUAAAAAUAUAAACGAAGUAUUAAUAUUAUUUCAAAUAAUACUAUCAUAUUUCAAAAUAAUGUCAUUAUUUCGUUUCUGAACAUACGGGGUCCCUUGUUCGCAUGUAUUUGUAUAGGAAAAAAAGAGUAGGCACGUGCGAAGGAGAAGGGAGACACGUGGGGAUGAAAGAUGAGAGAGGGAGAUGAACGUAUAGCUGUCGGCCACGAAGCAGGCUGUCACUUCUCUCUCAUGAAAACAUUGGGAAUUGCUCUUUGCUUCUCUCUCUAAAGCCCUUAAAUCUCGGGGGAGUUAUGUAAGAACAUCUACUAGGCUUCUGCAUUUUCACCUGCCCAAAUUACUUUCCAUUUCGCUUCAAGAUAUUUAUGAUAAAAAAAUCUAAUGCCUAUAUGUAUACUCUACGACUACGUGAUUAUUAAUUUACCAAAAGAGAAGUCACGAGAUAGUGUAUAGAUAAAGAAAAAGAGAGAGAGAGAAGAGUAUUUAUAGUUUUCUAUAUACUUUUCUUUGCAAAAAAACUUGUUAUAGUUAGUAACUAGUUAGUAACUAGUUGUUUGACAAAAAAAAAAAGUUAGUAACUAGUUAGAUCAUGUAAUAUUUUGUUCUUUGCUUAUUUCAUGAAUAUAUUUAUCUAAGGUAUUUCAUUAGUUCACACAACAAAAUUUUGAUAUUACAAAUCACUAAUGACAUCCCCGAUCCGAGAAGUUUGUCCUAAUAAGCUAGAUAAUAAAAUUCAACGAAACUGGUCCUAUUAAUCUAUUGCCUAUUGGGUUCAUUGAAAAGGACAAAAUUGGUUAUCACGUCUAUAUGUUGACAAAUUUAUUCAAAUAUAUACAUACGUACAUGUACCUCUAUCUGUAUGUGAAUGUGGUGUGAAGAUAAGGAAGAGCAGGUAAAUGAUUCAGAGGUAUGGGGGUUUGCUUGAAGUCGGAGAUAUCUUUUAAAUAAUUUGUUAAGCUCUUCGUGCUUCCCUAAAAAGCACCCACAGAUUUUAGGUGUACUUCCCAAAUACUUGUGACUUUAUUUUUGUUUAUCAGUAUAGUUAAUUACUUUUAUACGACUACAUAAAAAAGUUAACAAAAAAACGACUACAUAAAAACAAUAUUUUCAAUCAAAAACGUAUUGUGUAAUAAAAAUAUUGUUUUAUGUAGUCGUAUAUAAUACAAAAAUAUUAUACAAUUAUUAGUGUGUAUAGUACAUGAACUUAUACAGAACCACCAAAUCAAACAAAUAAAAUAGAUCUUUUGAACAAAAUAGAUUUUACUUUUUUAUGCAAUACAAAAUUUGUUUGAUCGAUUUUUCAUGCAUAUAUAUCAAAAUUUGAGGGGAAAAUAAUAUAUAUAUAUAUAUAUAUAUAACAUGGUUUUAAUUGUUGUACUAAAAUAAGAAAAGCUAGCUAAGCACUAAUUUUGGUUACAAAUGACCAACUUGAAUAUUCUAGGCCACCAAGAGCCUUUCUUCAAGUCAUUAAUCUCUAAUGGGAGUCUUAAUGCAUGAGCUAAUUUGUCCAGUUCCCACCAUACACCUAAUUAGCGAAAUAUAUAAAUUAAUUUAUGCUUUAGUUAAUUAGACCAAGACCAAUUAGAUAAUGACUUCGGACGCGGAAUCGGUGAUUAGCUUUGCCUUAAUGCAUGUUAAAAGUCCGAAGACCCACAAUUACAACUUUUGGCCUUGAGGACCAAACCCUUCACUUUAGAUUAGUUUAUUAAUUUUGAUUUAAAUACAAAAAUCUAAAAUUGUCGGCCUCUAAUACGGAGCUUUGAAUACUAGACGACAAAAAUAUGAAUGCUUCUUUAAACUUUUUUUUAUCCCUUUGAUGAUCCAUAAAACUAUUUUGAUAUUUCAAAAUUCUAAGAGAAAUAAGUUUCUUUAUCCCUUUGAUGAUCUAUCGACACAAGAUUUUUGUAAUGAUUUAUCUAAUUAUAUUCACAAUAUGUUCCGGGUAUAAAUAUAUUUAGACCUAAUUUUCAAUACACAUUUAGUCUAAAGAUAAAGACAGACGUCGCAUUAGAAUCAUACAAGUACUUACACACACGCAUAUUAAUAUAUAUGUUAUCAUUUGGUUAUGAAUAUAAAUCAGUAAAAUAAUUAUUACGAAAUUGUCAACUGUAAAGUUAUUAGGUAGUGAAUUAUUUGAUCAAAUUUAUUAUACAAUAUAAGUACUUAGUCAAAGAUAAUUAUUAUUUUAAUGCUAUUUUUUGUCAAUUUUUUCAUUUUAUUAUACAGCAUACCAAAAAUAGCUAAUUAUACAUUGAAGAACAUAAAAUUAUUGAAAAUAUAUAAUGUCCGGUAGACAAGAUAAUGAUUUCUCAGUUUCUAUAUUCAUUUAAAAACUGCAUAAGUAGUUAAAUGACAUACUAAUGUUACAUCCUGUAAAAGGGAGACAUAAUAGUACGAUGAAUAUUUUAACCACAUGAAGUUAGAACCAGUAAUACAAAGAUAUCGAUGCAUUUUCAUAUUGAUACUUUCCUUAUGUUAUGCUAUAGGUUUAUAACUUAACUUUUUAACCAUUUUUAAUUGAGAUAGGUUGCUGCAAUAAAAAAAUUCCACGAGACUAGGAUAAUGUAAUAUUACUAUGCAAUCAUUAUGCAAUGAACACUUUCCUUGUAAUUUUAGAUAUAUACAUUAAUUUAUACGGCUUCUUAUGCACACCCCCACAUAUUAAUAGUAACAGUAUUUCAUAAAAUAUCAAUCUCAUUAUUUAUUAAAGAAUAACGUGUGUUUUUGUACUAGAAUUAUAUAAUGAAUGAUCGUUCAAUAAAGGAAGAUUUCAUAUCUUAUUAGUUGACAAAUAUUACCAUUUGUGCAAAGUAAUCUUAUUUAAAAAUAACUCCUAAGGGUCCAAUAUUCACAUGCUUGGAAAGGUUUUCCUAUAGAGUAUACAUGAUAAAUUUUUUAGGCUUCUAACUUCAAACGAAUUGAUAGUAAGUGAAUUGACUCAAAUCAAUUAUAUAUUACUUAAGUUUUUUUCAUAUUUUCGGUAUGGGAUCUUAUCUCCAACACUCUCCUUUGAGAUAAUAGUGCGUAUAACCAUUAAUCUUGCAGAAUUCAUCAUACACUUCCAAAACAAUGCUCUAUUUUUUAGCAAUCUCGACAAAAUUGAGUCUUCUAUGAGCCAUCAGCUAAUAAGAUGAUCGGACCACUUUCUGGACCGGAUUAAUGGGUCGAGGUGUGGGUUCGCUCUGAUAACAUGUUAGGGCUUCCAACUUAAAACCAAUUGGUGGUAAGUGGAUUGGUUCAAGUCUCUUAUAUAUUACUUAAGUCCCUUUCAUAUUUUCGAUGUGGCAUCUUAUCUCCAACAAUGUAAAUACUUUACUAGUAUUAGUUAAGUUAAUAAAAUAACCCUUUUUAUAUAGUUUAGUUGUAAAAAUAAUUAGAGAGAUGCAAUAUCCAGAACACUUUGACCAGCAAAAGAAGAGCGCUUUCUAUUCCUUUUAUACAAUAUUUGACAUUUAUUAAUACUCUAGUCAUUUCAAAAAAGGUUUUAAGAGAUAUAUAUUUUAUAUUUCAAUGCAUGUUUUAUAACUUUUAUUAGAUAAUGAUCAUGAUUAUAAAUUUUUAAAAACAAUUAUAUUUAUUAAAUUUUUUUUGAUUAAAAAUUGUGAAAAAAAUAAAUAGUCACAAAAUAAUGUAUUUGUAAUCUAAAUUUAAAAUAAUUUUAAUGUGUAUUUUUAAAAAAAAUAUAAAUAUUUUUGAAACAGAUGAAAUGUUUAACAUAGAGAUUUUAUAUAACUUCUCCUAUUCUUACUUUUACCGAAAAUCAUUACAGAAUGCAAAUAUUUUUCAUCAAAUUUAGAGAAGACUAAGAAGGAAAAAAACUAUUUAUAGGAUCAAAAUAAAGUACACACGAUUUGCUUAAUUAAAAUAUGACUUCAAUAAUUAAUUUUGCAUAAAAUUAGAUAAGUUAUAUUUAAAUUAAUAUUAGGUAAAUACACCUAAAAUAAUUCAAAUUGUUACAGUGGAUAACACUACAAAUAUUAAAACUAAUAGAAAAAGGUUCAAUUAAAAAUUUUGGAAAAUAGAAAUGAAAGGAAAUCUGGCCUAGAUAGCAACUUUGGGCACUUAUGCUUUCAUCUUUACAUUACUUAAAUGAGCAUACAAAAUCCAAAAAAUAGUGUGGGAUGAUAUGCAAUCAAAUCCCACUAGUGAAGGACAUAGAUAAUAUCCACAAAUAAUAUAUUACACAUUUUCCUGAAUUUAAACUAUAGAGAUCUCCCAUUAGUCACUAUUUGAUUAUAUUUCGGAUGACAUAAAUUUACAUUUGUCAAUGAGAGUUUAUGUUAUAUGAACUUUGAAAAAAAAAAAUUCUUCCCUUGCUCUAUACUAUAUAUUGAAUGUCAUCAUUUAUCUUUUUUUUUCUUAUGCAAAUUUAAUGCAACUGAUACGCAUUUCAGAAUAACUUAUUAUAUGAAUGCUAUAUUUUCUUCUUGCAGAUCGUGUCUUUCACAAUGUUUCUGACGCCAAAUUUUUUUUCCAGGUUACUGGUAAGUGUGUGCAUUGACCUAUAUAUGGUUCAUGUUUAGAUCUUAAACAUCCUUAAGUAAUUUUUUUGAAUUCCCUUGCUCUUUUGGCUGUUUAGUUCUUUCUACUUUCAUAAUGUUCUUUAUCUUCCAAGUGUUAGCUAUGUUUCUGGGAAGAUAUUGUUUUUCGCCGGUUUUGUCUUUUGUAAUUUUUUUAGACUAUGUUUCUAUCUUGUAAACUCGGUUUGGCAUUAAUAAUAAUAUAAUUUCAUACUUAUCAAAAAAAAUAUAUAUAUAAUUUCAUGUUAAAAUAAAAUAAUGUUUAAUUUUCAGAAAAUACUUCAAUUUGCACAUCCUAUGAUUUAUUUAUGAGAUAUAUAUAUUACAUCUAAAACCAGAUGUUUGACUGAGAGACAGAACUGAGAGUUGGCAUGAAGAAAGAAAAAAAAAAGAACUGAGAGAAUGAAACUUAAAUAUAUGGUAACAAUCAUGGACAAUAUAUAUAAUUUCAUUUUUCAAAAUGAAAUGAUCUAAAACUAUUAAAGAGUAAAAAAGUAGGGCAAACUUUGGGAGACAUGUUAUGGUACAGCUGUACUAAUGUAUUAUAUUUUAUAUUAUCGGCCACUACAAAUAUAUCCCUAGUCGUUUCAGGUUUACGUUCUCUUUUUUAUCUCUCAAAAUUUUGAACAAUUUGUUUAAAAAUAUAAACUUAACGAACGAAAUAAAGAUAAAGAUCAUGUCCCUGUGUCCGUGUGCUUAUUUUACCUGGAAGUACGGACACAAAGGCAAUGGAUUAGAUCGAUAAGCAAUCCGAACACGGCAUCACGUGUUUUCAAAAGCGUCGAUCACUCCGGCAUUGCCAUCUGUGCAAAUCUAGCCAAUUAGAGUCGGAACUUUGCCAUGUGGGCACGUGCGAUUCCCGCAGCUCAAACAUCUAUGGAUGCCCCCAUGACUCCAUGUGAUCAUUUUGAGCUAAUCUAAAAUAAUGUUUGUUAUAUAUGUGUGUUUUUUUAAUCUUUAAAUGGUCUUGUGAGAAUCCAGGAUAAUACACUACAAGAAAACAGCGGCAUACUGAGGAAAAAAAUCGUCGGUAUGUCGUCGGAAUAACGCUAUUCCGACGACAUACCGACGAAAAAAGUUUUCGGAAAUAACUCCUCAGAAAUUCAUAUUUCCUCGGAAAUCCCUCGGAAAUCCCUCGGAAAUUUUCGACGGAAUUUCGAGGAAAUGAAUUUCCGAGGACCACAAGUUCGUCGGAAAGUCCUCGGAAUAUUCCGAGGAAGAUGUCGUCGGAAUAUCCCGAGGGAUACACUUCCUCGGGAUAUUUCCAAAAUUAAAAAAAAAUUAUAAAUUUAUUUUUUUAAAUUGAAAUUCGAAAAUAUAAAAUUAAAAUUGAAAUAGAAAGCAUAUU